UCUUUGCUAGUAUAUCGGUUAGUACACGCGCUUGUCAUGUAUGUCUCUGUCCAGAGCGAAGCACAAUAUACGCGCGAAAGCUGGGUUCGACUCCCAGGCAGAGAG